rnacentral:tRNA from 1 species
CGGGGCGUAGCUCAGCCUGGUAGAGUACUGCGUUCGGGACGCAGGAUGUCGGAGGUUCGAAUCCUCUCGCCCCGACCA